GGGAAGGUGGCUCAGAGGUAGAGUGCUUGCCUAACAUGCAUGAAGCCCUGGGUUCGAUUCCUUCAUGCCA
rnacentral:tRNA from 1 species